rnacentral:rRNA from 1 species
AGUGAACGCUGGCGGUAGGCCUAACACAUGCAAGUCGAACGGCAGCACAGUAAGAGCUUGCUCUUACGGGUGGCGAGUGGCGGACGGGUGAGGAAUACAUCGGAAUCUACUUUUUCGUGGGGGAUAACGUAGGGAAACUUACGCUAAUACCGCAUACGACCUACGGGUGAAAGCAGGGGAUCUUCGGACCUUGCGCGAUUGAAUGAGCCGAUGUCGGAUUAGCUAGUUGGCGGGGUAAAGGCCCACCAAGGCGACGAUCCGUAGCUGGUCUGAGAGGAUGAUCAGCCACACUGGAACUGAGACACGGUCCAGACUCCUACGGGAGGCAGAAGUGGGGAAUAUUGGACAAUGGGCGCAAGCCUGAUCCAGCCAUACCGCGUGGGUGAAGAAGGCCUUCGGGUUGUAAAGCCCUUUUGUUGGGAAAGAAAAGCAGCAGGUUAAUACCCCGCUGUUCUGACGGUACCCAAAGAAUAAGCACCGGCUAACUUCGUGC